rnacentral:lncRNA from 10 species
UAAAGCAGCACUAUGCCUGGCAUGUAAGAAAGUGCCAACUGUCGACAGAUGAUCCAAAAGAUUUCCUUCUAAGCAUCUAACACUGACUGAGGUCACUGAAGACCACACUGGCAGGAAUUUCAGGGACUGAUGACAUCUCCUUCCCUUGUACUCAUGUUUGAGAGAGUAGGUCUGAUUCCCUUACUGCAGGCCCCCAUGAGGUCUGAUACGGUUCGGCUCUGUGUCCCCACGCAAAUCUCAUCUCUAAUUGUUAUCCCCAUGUGUCAAGGGAGGGACCUGGUGGGAAGUGCUUGCAUCAUGGGGACGGUUUUCCCCUAUGCUGUUCUCCUGAUACUGAAUUCUCCCGAGAGCUGAUGGUUUUAAAAGUGUAACAGUUCCCCCUUCACUUGCGUGCUUGCUUGUUCUCUCUUGCCACCUUGUGAAGAAGGUACCUACUUCCCCUUUGCCUUCCGCCAUAAUUGUAAGUUUCUUGAGGCCUCCCCAGCCACACAGAACUGAGUCAAUUAAACCUCUUUUGUUUGUAAA